AACGAACGCUGGCGGCAUGCCUAAUACAUGCAAGUCGAACGAGAUCUUCGGAUCUAGUGGCGCACGGGUGCGUAACGCGUGGGAAUCUGCCCUUGGGUUCGGAAUAACUUCUGGAAACGGAAGCUAAUACCGGAUGAUGACGUAAGUCCAAAGAUUUAUCGCCCAAGGAUGAGCCCGCGUAGGAUUAGCUAGUUGGUGGGGUAAAGGCCCACCAAGGCGACGAUCCUUAGCUGGUCUGAGAGGAUGAUCAGCCACACUGGGACUGAGACACGGCCCAGACUCCUACGGGAGGCAGCAGUAGGGAAUAUUGGACAAUGGGGGAAACCCUGAUCAAGCAAUGCCGCGUGAGUGAUGAAGGCCUUUGGGUUGUAAAGCUCUUUUACCCGGGAUGAUAAUGACAGUACCGGGAGAAUAAGCUCCGGCUAACUCCGUG
rnacentral:rRNA from 1 species